AUGAAUGAGAGAAGAUUCUACAGUCUCUUUCACCGGGAUAUGAAUGGUAUAUUAGAUCUGUUUUCCGUGGGCCAUGCUAUUCCAGAAAUGUUGUCUGGACCUCCUUCUGCUGGUUGGCACUCCAGUCUGGUAACACUCCGGGAGAGUCUGACAAGUAAACAGCAUUGGGACCUGGAGAGAGUGCAUUCUUUGGAGCAAGAAAUCUCAGGUGUAAGCCUGGGCUUCAAAAGUUACUACGUGUGAGGAUAUGAACAAAUCCCUUAAUCGCUCUGACUCUGUUUUUGAUCUGUAAAAAGUGGGUAAUAGAAUGAAUCAUAAAAUUACCUUUCCAGUCUCUCUAUUUAUAGAACUUUGAGGGCUAGUAAUAAUAACAAUGAUAAUAAUAAUAACUAGGAUAAUGUUUACCCUGGCAAUUUAUCAACCAUAAAGCACCAGCCAGUGUGGCCAUGGUUCCUUGGAUUACUUCAGUCAACAUUGCCCACCGCUGCUGCAGUAGUCACAUAUAGGGCUGGGGAUAUGCCCACUAGAGGAUAAGAUUCUCUAGGACAGGGACUGUACUUUAUUUAUUUGUGGUGCUGCUUAACUACAUAAUUGCCAGGCAUUUAAUAGAUGAUUGAUAAUGUUUGCUUAAUGAACAACUAAACAAAUAUGAUAGAUAAUCAUGUGAAAGGUAAAUUGGACUUGCCUUCUAUAAUCUCCAAAGCUAAAACUAGUCUAGUAAUGAGAUGCUAUAGGAAGACAGAUAUAGGGUCAAUAUAAGAAAGAUAAAAAUUAAACCUUAAAGAAAUCAAAAAAAUGAAACAGGAUAUCUUGCUAUCACUGAAUUUUUCUUAGCAGAGGUUAUUGUACCCAUCAGGAAAAACUAAGUGAUAAUGUUGUUGCAAUAACAAUGCCAAAAUUCAGGGGCUCCAAACGAUAUCAUUCACACUCUAUAGCUAUCAUGUGUUGGCAGAGGUGCUUUGCCUGUUUGAGUCACCUGGACCCAGACCGAUGAAACAACUAUCAUCUUGAAUGUUGCUAGCCAUCAAAGCUGAGGGAAAAGGAAUAUGCUGUGGAGGUUUUUGAAGGAAUACUUAAAUGCUUCAGUCUCUGAGUGACACGUUAUUUUCACUCACAACUCAUUGGCCAGAACUAGACAUUUGACUCAAAACAUAAGGAGACCAGGAAGAGCAAUCCUACACUGUAACCAGAAGAUACUAACAUCAGUGACAACUACACCCAAUCGCUUAAUAGCGUUGUUGUAAAGAGAAUCAAAUAGGAGUACUACAAAAGAGGCUGAACUUCUAGUAGGUCAAUCUGUGACUGGAUGAUUCUGAAUGCACUUAUUUUUUCAACCCCUAUGCAAUGUCUGCAAGAUUCAUUUUCAUAAAUAACAUCUCACAUACAUUGGACUUGUACUAUGGCUCCUUCCAGGCCAUUAAGUUCUAUAGAUACUUAGGUCCAACUGCUAUUUAUAAUCCCUAUUUUAGUUGACUCAUAUUUGUGUCUGUCACCUUUUUCAGGGUCAUCUGCUGUUUGAGGGCAUUAUUAAAUACUAAUUCUUAUAUUCUACUAUAUUCCACAUCUUUCACUAUAGAAAUGUCCACUAGUGCUUCCCAAACAAAUUUAUUUUCUCUUUUGAAUAAGCACAUUUCAAGGUAACUGAUCACUGUACUGCAACUUCUCAAUGGCCACAAUGAGAAGUAUUUCUUGGAAGACUAGAGUGUACCUUUAAGAAGGGUUCACAUUACAUGGACACCGAUUAUAAUAGAAGACUGAAAUUCCGGGCCACAUGAUGGGAAAAGUGCAGGCUUCUUUUCAGAUGGCAAUCUAGGGAGCCAUUCUCAUAACAGAUUGCUAUUUGUAGCGCCAUGUUCUGACUUUCUAGUAUACCUUGCAUCAGCAUGGGUCUGUCUGUAUAUGACGAGCAGAAAUAGAUUUUUUUCUUUUUGUGGCUUGAUUAGUUGUUUUGUGAAGGCUGCAAGGUUAAAGUGAAGCUACAUACUACUUCAGAUAGAGUAGGAAACCCAUAGCCAAAGCAUAGGGUCUGGUGUUCUGGUGAAUGUGUAGUUCUUUCUUAUGUGCUGUUUUGUUUAAUGAUUUUGUGUGUGUGUGUGUUUGUUGGCGUUAUUGACUACAAAAAAUUCAUAACUAAAAUCAGAUUUCAAAACUCUCCUUUCUUAAAUAUUGUUAGAUGCCAUGGUGUUUUAAGGAAAAGCAGGGGGCGGCAUAGUGGCACAUAAAAGCACAUUUUAUAAGAAUCCUCACAAGUAACAAAUUUGGUCACACAGCAGUUAAAUCAGUCCUCCUAAGCAUAUCUCAACAUAUGUCCGCUCUCGCUGUGCUAUUUUGUCUAUAAUGUUGUUGUUAUCUUGGUUUGUGACACUGGAGUAAUUACAAAGUUCUACCCUCCCAUUUUUGCUUACUGGUCUUUAGUGAGAAAACUUAACAGCCAUUUUUCUAGGCUAUGCUGAAUGAGAAGCAAUUUUUCUCCUCUGCCUUGCUGAAUGAUAAUGAAGCGAUGAGUGUGUUCCUCUUGGAAAGAUGUGCUGACCUGUUCAUGUUGGAAGUUUGACGUGUUUAACAGUCACUGUCAUGAGACUAUGGAGAAGGUAGGGCAAGACAAUAUCCUGGGGGUGACUAAAAAUACACAAAUGCCAAAGAUGUACAGUGGAAUUUGUGGGUAGUUCUCUUAAGUGACUGUCAUGUGAAGAAGGAAUGUGUCAGAAGCGCCAUCUCAUCCUAACCGAGCUAUGUCACAACUGAUAGGUAAGAGCAUCACUGUCUAAUGGAUCUGGUUUAAGCAGAGAAGUAUUUUGGAAUUUUCACAAUGGUAAAGAAUGGCUUAGUUUGCAGCCGGUCUCUCUCAGUGUGUUUGGAUCCAUCAGUCAGAGAAAAUAGAAUUCUUAUUUGAAACUUAUCUUUGUUAUGAAUGAGACUCACAAGAAACGAAUGUGAAGUCCUUUUUGGCCCAAUUUAUUCAUCAUGAAUUCUGAAUCUUGCUGUGUGACUUUAUUUUGCCAAAUCAUGUAUUUGGUUAAUUGUAAUAUAACUGAUAAAUUUCAGGCCACUUGUGACUGAGAAUAAAGCAGGGUAUGGGGGUAAAACA
rnacentral:lncRNA from 1 species